rnacentral:tRNA from 1 species
GAAGUAGCUCAGUGGUAGAGCAACCGGCUGUUAACCGGUUGGUCGCAGGUUCGAGCCCUGCCUUC